CACCCUUUAAUGUUUGAUGUUCUAACGUGGACCCGUAAUCCGGGUUGCGGACAGUGUCUGGUGGGUAGUUUGACUGGGGCGGUCUCCUCCUAAAGAGUAACGGAGGAGCACGAAGGUUGGCUAAUCCUGGUCGGACAUCAGGAGGUUAGUGCAAUGGCAUAAGCCAGCUUGACUGCGAGCGUGACGGCGCGAGCAGGUGCGAAAGCAGGUCAUAGUGAUCCGGUGGUUCUGAAUGGAAGGGCCAUCGCUCAACGGAUAAAAGGUACUCCGGGGAUAACAGGCUGAUACCGCCCAAGAGUUCAUAUCGACGGCGGUGUUUGGCACCUCGAUGUCGGCUCAUCACAUCCUGGGGCUGAAGUAGGUCCCAAGGGUAUGGCUGUUCGCCAUUUAAAGUGGUACGCGAGCUGGGUUUAGAACGUCGUGAGACAGUUCGGUCCCUAUCUGCCGUGGGCGCUGGAGAACUGAGGGGGGCUGCUCCUAGUACGAGAGGACCGGAGUGGACGCAUCACUGGUGUUCGGGUUGUCAUGCCAAUGGCACUGCCCGGUAGCUAAAUGCGGAAGAGAUAAGUGCUGAAAGCAUCUAAGCACGAAACUUGCCCCGA
rnacentral:rRNA from 1 species